rnacentral:rRNA from 1 species
UACGGGAGGCAGCAGUGGGGAAUAUUGCACAAUGGGCGCAAGCCUGAUGCAGCCAUGCCGCGUGUAUGAAGAAGGCCUUCGGGUUGUAAAGUACUUUCAGUCGUGAGGAAGGUGUUAAGGUUAAUAACCUUAGCAAUUGACGUUAGCGACAGAAGAAGCACCGGCUAACUCCGUGCCAGCAGCCGCGGUAAUACGGAGGGUGCGAGCGUUAAUCGGAAUUACUGGGCGUAAAGGGCACGCAGGCGGUUAAUUAAGUUGGAUGUGAAAUCCCCGGGCUUAACCUGGGAAUGGCAUUCAAGACUGGUUAGCUAGAGUCUUGUAGAGGGGGUAGAAUUCCAUGUGUAGCGGUGAAAUGCGUAGAGAUGUGGAGGAAUACCGGUGGCGAAGGCGGCCCCUGGACAAAGACUGACGCCCAUGUGCGAAAGCGUGGGGAGCAAACGAGGGAU